CGUGUCGUGAGAUGUUCGGGUUAAGUCCCGUAACGAGCGCAACCCUUGUCCUUAGUUACCAGCACGUAAUGGUGGGAAACUCUAAGGAGACUGCCGGUGACAAACCGGAGGAAGGUGGGGAUGACGUCAAGUCAUCAUGGCCCUUACGGCCAGGGCUACACACGUGCUACAAUGGUCGGUACAAAGGGUUGCCAAGCCGCGAGGUGGAGCUAAUCCCAUAAAACCGAUCGUAGUCCGGAUCGCAGUCUGCAACUCGACUGCGUGAAGUCGGAAUCGCUGGUAAUCGUGAAUCAGAAUGUCACGGUGAAUACGUUCCCGGGCCUU
rnacentral:rRNA from 1 species